UACGUAGGGGGCAAGCGUUGUCCGGAUUUAUUGGGCGUAAAGAGCUCGUAGGUGGUUCGGUAAGUCGGAUGUGAAAUCUCCAGGCUCAACCUGGAGGGGUCAUUCGAUACUGCCGUGACUAGAGGUCGGUAGGGGAGUGUGGAAUUCCUGGUGGAGCGGUGAAAUGCGCAGAUAUCAUGAGGAAGACCAGUGGCGAAGGCGGGUCUCUGGACAGUUCCUGACACUGAGGCACGAAGGCCAGGGGAGCAAACGGG
rnacentral:rRNA from 1 species